rnacentral:misc_RNA from 1 species
GUGGGGGGGGGGGUCUCAGGCCGUCACGGACGGGGGAUUUGGGGGCGCCUGGCGGGCCCGGGGGCCCGCCAAGGCAACAGCGUCGGGGGUAGGCACGGGUGGGAGCUGGCCCCGGGGGGCGCGACUCGGUAAUGAUCCUUCCGCAGGUUCACCUACGGAAA